GGCCUGGCUGGGCGGUCUUUCCUCUGGUCAGCACUGCCUGGGUCGGGCCUUUCCUUCUGGGGAACCGACGUGCUCUUAAGUGAGUGCGGCGGGGAGCCGGGACUUUUACUUUGAAAAAAUUAGAGUGUUUAAGGCAGGCCUUUGCUUGGAUAGAUUAGCAUGGAAUAAUGAAAUAGGACGUUCGAUCCUAUUUUGUUGGUUUCUAGGAUUGACGUA
rnacentral:rRNA from 1 species